CAAUAGCGUAUAUUAAAGUUGUUGCGGUUAAAAAGCUCGUAGUUGGAUUUCUGCUGAGAACGACCGGUCCGCCCUUUGGGUGUGUAUCUGGCUCUUUCUUGGCAUCUUCUUGGUGAACGUUGCUGCACUUGACUGUGUGGAGCGCUACCCAGGACUUUUACUUUGAGGAAAUUAGAGUGUUUCAAGCAGGCAUACGCCUUGAAUACAUUAGCAUGGAAUAAUAAGAUAGGAUCUCGGUUCUAUUUUGUUGGUUUCUAGAGCUGAGGUAAUGAUUAAUAGGGAUAGUUGGGGGCAUUCGUAUUUAACUGUCAGAGGUGAGAUUCUUGGAUUUGUUAAAGACGGACUACUGCGAAAGCAUUUGCCAAGGAUGGUUNCAUUG
rnacentral:rRNA from 1 species